CACGUAGGUGGCAAGGUAAGUCAUAGGUGAAAGCCCUCGGCUCAACCGAGGAACUGCCUUUGAAACUGCUUUGCUUGAGUCCGGGAGGGGGGAGCGGAAUUCCCAGUGUAGCGGUGAAAUGCGUAGAUACUGGGAGGAACACCGGUGGCGAAGGCGGCUCCCUGGACCGGUACUGACACUGAGGUGCGAAAGCGUGGGUAGCAAACA
rnacentral:rRNA from 1 species